rnacentral:lncRNA from 1 species
ACAACUGGAAUCAUAUAAAAUGCAGCCUAUUCAGACCAACUUCUUUCAGACUCAAAUUAUCAAGUCUUCAAGAAGGAGGGAAGAAAAUUUUCUUCACCCCUACAGAUUUGGUGAGCCAAGAGAACAAAUCACUCUACUCAUUGGGAGCCUGCAGAUGGGAUCCUGGGAAAACUUACAAAAAAACCAGCAAAGAAAGAUAAACAUUUCUUCCGAUGUCUCAUGUCCCUGCCUGCAGUGCCUGGUUGAUGUGGGUGACUCAGAUUAUUGAACCUUCAAAAGGAGAUGAAGAAAAAUUCUUUUUGCCCCUACAUGGCCAUGGAAAUAAAUUCUGGCAAAUGGAAGGGUUUAUGGAAAUGGAGAGUGUGACAGGCUGUCAGAACUAAAAACAAACAAACAAACAAACCAGCAUCUCAACAAAGAGAUCAAGACAUCACUCUGAUCAUAAUAUCAGUGCUAUGGCUUAAAUGUCCCCUCCAAAACUCAUGUUGGAAUUUCAUCCUCAAUGUGCUUGCAUUGAGAAAUGAAUUUUUAAGAAGUGACUGGAUCAUGAAGGCUCUGCUCUCAUGAAUGGAUUAACCCAUUCACAGAUUAAUGGAUUAAUGGGUUAAUGGGUUAUCAUGGGACAGGAAUUGGUGGCUUUACAAGAAAACGAAGAGAGACCUGAGCUAGCAUGUUAGCACACUCAACCUCCUCCCAUGUGAUCCCCUGCACUACCUUGGGACCCUUCAGAGAGUUCCCACCAGCAAGAAGGCUCUCACCAGAUGCGACCUCCUGCCCUUGGACUUCUCAGCCUCCAUAACUACGUGCAUGAAAUUUGGUGCCGCAACUCGGAUUGGGGGACCUCCCUUGGGAGAUCAAUCCCCUGUCCUCCUGUUCUGUGCUCCGUGAGAAAGAUCCACCUAUGACCUCAGGUCCUCAGACCGACCAGCCCAAGGAACAUCUCACCAAUCUUAAAUCAGGUAAGCGGCCUCUUCUUACUCUCUUCUCCAACCUCUCUCACUGUCCCUCAACCACUUUCUCCUUUCCACUCUUCAAUCUCUCCCUUCUCUUAAUUUCAAUUCCUUUCAUUUUCUGGGAAAGACAAAGGAGACACGUUUUACCUGUGGACCCAAAACUCCGGCCUGGUCACGGACUGGGAAGGCCGCCUUCCCUUGGUGUUUAAUCAUUGCAGGGACGCCUCUCUGAUUAUACACCCACGUUUCAAGGGUGUCAGACCACGCAGGGACACCUGCCUUUGUCCUUCACCCUUAGCGGCAAGUCCCGCUUUUCUGGGGAAGGGGCAAGUACCUCAACCACUUCUCUCCUUGUCUCUACCCCUUCUCUGCUUUUCUGGGAGAGGGGCAAGUACCCCUCAACCCCUUCUCCUUCACCCUUAGCGGCAAGUCCUGCUUUCCUAGGGGGCAAGAAACCCCCAAUCGCUUAUUUCCGCACCCCAACCUCUUAUCUCUGUGCCCCAAUCCCUUAUUUCCACACCCUGACCUCUUAUCUCUGUGCCCCAGUCACUUAUUUCCGUGCCCCAACCCCCUUCUCUGCUUUUCUGGAGGGCAAGAACCCUCCACCCCUUCUCCGUGUCUCUACUCUUUUCUCUGGGCUUGCCUCCUUCACUAUGGGUAAGCUUCCACCUUCCAUUCCUCCUUCUUCUCCCUUAGCCUGUGUUCUCAAAAACUUAAAACCUCUUCAACUCACACCUGACCUAAAACCUAAAUGCCUUUUCUUCUGCAAUGCCGCUUGACCCCAAUACAACCUUGACAGUAGUUCCACAUAGCCAGAAAAUGGCACUUUGAAUUUUUCCAUCCUGCAAAAUCUAAAUAAUUCUUGUCGUAAAAUAGGCAAACGGUCUGAGGUGCCUGACGUCCAGGCAUUCUUUUACGUAUCAGUCCCUUCCUAGUCUCUCCAAAUCUUUCUUCUUUCCCUCCCGCCUGUCCCCUCAGUACCAACCCCAAGCGUCGCUGAGUCUUUCUAAUCUUCCUUUUCUACAGACCCACCUAACCUCUCCCUUCCUCCCCAGGCUGCUCCUCGCCAGGCCGAGCUAGGUCCCAAUUCUUCCUCAGCCUCCCCUCCUCCACCCUAUAAUCUUUUUAUCACCUCCCCUCCUCACACCUAGUCCGGCUUACAGUUUCUUCCGUGACUAGCCAUCCCCCACCUGCCCGGCAAUUUACUCUUAAAAAGGUGGCUGGAGCUAAAGGCAUAGUCAAGAUUAAUGCUCCUUUUUCUUUAUCCCAAAUCAGAUAGCGUUUAGGCUCUUUUUCAUCGAAUAUAAAAAUCCAGCCCAGUUCAUGACUUGUUUGGCAGCAACCCUGAGACACUUUACAGCCCUAGACCCUAAAAAGUCAAAAGGCCGUCUUAUUCUCAAAAUACAUUUUAUUACCCAAUCUGCUCCCAACAUUAAGUAAAACUCCAAAAAUUAAAUUCCGGCCCUCAAACCCCACAACAGGAUUUAAUUAACCUCACCUUCAAGGUGUACAAUAAUAGAAAAAAGUUGCAAUUCCUUGCCUCCACUGUGAGACAAACCCCAGCCACAUCUCCAGCACAUAAGAACUUCCAAACGCCUGAACUGCAGUGGCCAGGCAUUCCUCCAGAACCUCCUCCCACAGGAGCUUGCUACACAUGCCGGAAAUCGGGCCCCUGGGCCAAGGAAUGCCCGCUGCCUGGGAUUCCUCCUAAGCCACGUCCCAUCUGUGUGGGACCCCACGGAAAAUCGGACUGUUCAACUCACCUGGCAGCCACUCCCAGAGUCCCUGGAACUCUGGCCCAAGGCUCGCUGACUGACUCCUUCCCAGAUCUUCUCAGCUUAGCGGCUGAAGACUGACACUGCCCGAUCGCCUCGGAAGCCCCUAGACCAUCACGGACGCUGAGCUUCGGGUAACUCUCACAGUGGAAGGUAAGCACGUCCCCUUCUUAAUCAAUACAGAGGCUACCCACUCCACAUUACCUUCUUUUCAAAGGCCUGUUUCCCUUGCCUCCAUAACUGUUGUGGGUAUUGACGGCCAGGCUUCUAAACCUCUUAAAACUCCCCAACUCUGCUGCCAACUUAGACAAUACUCUUUUAAUCACUCCUUUUUAGUUAUCCCCACCUGCCCAGUUCCCUUAUUAGGCUGAGACACUUUAACUAAAUUAUCUGCUUCCCUGACUAUUCCUGGACUACAGCUAUAUCUCAUUGCCGCCCUUCUUCCCAAUCCAAAGCCUCCUUUGCGUCCUCCUCUUGUAUCCCCCAGCCUUAACCCACAAGUAUAAGAUACCUCUACUCCCUCCUUGGCGACCGAUCAUGCACCUCUUACCAUCUCAUUAAAACCUAAUCACCCUUACCCCACUCAACGCCAAUAUCGCAUCCCGCAGCACGCUUUAGAAAGAUUAAAGCCUGUUAUCACUAGCCUGCUACAGCAUGGCCUUUUAAAGCCUAUAAACUCUCCUUACAAUUCCCCCAUUUUACCUGUCCUAAAACCAGACAAGCCUUACAAGUUAGUUCAGGAUCUGCACCUUAUCAACCAAAUUGUUUUGCCUAUCCACCCCGUGGUGCCAAACCCACAUACUCUCCUAUCCUCAAUACCUGCCUCUAUAACCCAUUAUUCUGUUCUAGAUCUCAAACAUGCUUUCUUUACUAUUCCUUUGCACCUUAAUCCCAGCCUCUCUUCACUUCCACUUGGACUGACCCUGACACCCAUCAAGCUCAGGAAAUUACCUAGGCUGUACUGCUGCAAAGCUUCACAGACAGCCCCCAUUACUUCAAUCAAGCCCAAAUUUCUUCCUCAUCUGUUACCUAUCUCGGCAUAAUUCUCAUAAAAACACACGUGCUCUCCCUGCCAAUCGUGUCCGACUGAUCUCUCAAACCCCAGCACCUUCUACAAAACAACAACUCCUUUCCUUCCUAGGCAUGGUUAGCGUGGUCAGAAUUCUUACACAAGAGCCAGGACCACACCCUGUAGCCUUUCUGUCCAAAAAACUUGACCUUACUGUUUUAGCCUAGCCCUCAUGUCUGUGUGCAGCGGCUGCCACUGCAUUAAUACUUUUAGAGGCCCUCAAGAUCACAAACUAUGCUCAACUCACUCUCUACAUUUCUCAUAACUUCCAAAAUCUAUUUUCUUUCUCAUACCUGACACAUAUACUUUCUGCUUCCUGGCUCCUUCCGCUAUACUCACUCUUUGUUGAGUCUCCCACAAUUACCGUUGUUCCUGGCCCAGACUUCAAUCCGGCCUCCCACAUUAUUCCUGAUACCACACCUGACCCCCAUGACUGUAUCUCUCUGAUCCACCUGACAUUCACCCCAUUUCCCCAAAUUUCCUUCUUUCCUGUUCCUCACCCUGAUCACGCUUGAUUUAUUGAUGGCGGUUCCACCAGGCCUAAUCGCCACACACCAGCAAAGGCAGGUUAUGCUAUAGUACAAGCCACUAGCCCACCUCUUAGAACCUCUCAUUUCCUUUCCAUUGUGGAAACCUAUCCUCAAGGAAAUAACUUCUCAGUGUUCCAUCUGCUAUUCUACUACUCCUCAGGGAUUCUUCAGGCCCCCUCCCUUCCCUACACAUCAAGCUCGAGGAUUUGCCCCACCCAGGACUGGCAAAUUAGCUUUACUCAACAUGCCCUGAGUCAGAUAACUAAAAUACCUCUUAGUCUAGGUAGAUACUUUCACUGGAUAGGUAGAGGCCUUUCCUACAGGGUCUGAGAAGGCCACCGCAGUCAUUUCUUCCCUUCUGUCAGACAUAAUUCCUCAGUUUAGCCUUCCCACCUCAAUACAGUCUGAUAACAGAAGGGCCUUUAUUAGUCAAAACAGCCAAGCAGUUUUUCAGGCUCUUAGUAUUCAGUGAAACCUUUAUAUCCCUUAUGGUCCUCCGUCUUCAAGAAAAGUAGAAUGGACUAAAGGUCUUUUAAAAACACACCUCACCAAGCUCAGCCACCAACUUAAAAAGGACUGGACAAUACUUUUACCACUUUCCCUUCUCAGAAUUCAGGCCUGUCCUCGGAAUGCUACAGGGUACAGCCCAUUUGAGCUCCUGUAUAGACGCUCCUUUUUAUUAGGCCCCAGUCUCAUUCUAGACACCAGACCAACUCAGACUGUGCCCCAAAAAAAACUUGUCAUCCCUGCUAUCUUCUCUCUAGUCAUACUCCUAUUCACCGUUCUCAACUACUCAUACAUGCCCUGCUCUUGUUUACACUGCUAGUUUACACUGUUUUUCCAAGCCAUCACAGCUGAUAUCUCCUGGUGCUAUCCCCAGACUGCCACUCUUAACUCUUGAAGUAAAUAAAUAAUCUUUGCUGGCAGGACUAUGCUGAAUCUCCUUAGGCACUCUCUAAUCAGAUAUCCCGAGUCGUCCCAAUUCUUAGACAUUUUAUACCUGUUUUUCUCCUUCUGUUAUUCCAUUUAGUUUCUCAAUUCAUCCAAAACCGUAUCCAGGCCAUCAUCAAUCAUUCUAUACAACAACUGUUUCUUCUAACAUCCCCACAAUAUCACCCCUUACCACAAGACCUCCCCUCAGCUUAAUCUCUCCCACUCUAGGUUCCCACGCUGCCCCUAAUCCCGCUUGAAGCAGCCCUGAGAAACAUCGCCCAUUCUCUCUCCAUACCACCCCCCAAAAAUUUUUGCCGCCCCAACACUUCAACACUAUUUUGUUUUAUUUUUCUUAUUAAUAUAAGAAGGCAGGAAUGUCAGGCCUCUGAGCCCAAACCAAGCCAUCGCAUCCCCUGUGACUUGCACGUAUACGCCCAGAUGGCCUGAAGUAACUGAAGAAUCACAAAAGAAGUGAAUAUGCCCUGCCCCACCUUAACUGAUGACAUUCCACCACAAAAGAAGUGUAAAUGGCCGGUCCUUGCCUUAAGUGAUAACAUUACCUUGUGAAAGUCCUUUCCCUGGCUCAUCCUGGCUCAAAAAGCACCCCCACUGAGCACCUUGCGACCCCCACUCCUGCCCGCCAGAGAACAAACCCCCUUUGACUGUAAUUUUCCUUUACCUACCCAAAUCCUAUAAAACGGCCCCACCCUUAUCUCCCUUCACUGACUCUCUUUUUGGACUCAGCCUGCCUGCACCCAGGUGAAAUAAACAGCCAUGUUUCUCACACAAAGCCUGUUUGCUGGUCUCUUCACACGGACGCGCAUGAAACACAUGAUAACUAAAUAAAUUCAAACUUGGAUAAUUAACAAGACAAAAUUUCAGAAAGGUUUAGGAAAUUAAAAUUUCCCUGGAAAAAUCAAUUGUGGAACAUGCUUUAGAACUUUAAAACAUCCUUGAACAAAAAUUAUACUAUUCCUACUAUCUUCUCUAAAAUAUAUUAUCUUACUUCUGUUUUGC